rnacentral:siRNA from 1 species
CGAAGCACUAUGCUGAGGUGG